rnacentral:tRNA from 2 species
GCGGGCGUAGCUCAGCAUGGUGAGAGCACCAGGUUGUGGCCCUGGGGGUCGUGGGUUCGAAUCCCAUCGCCCGCC